GCCUUCGUGGUGUAGUGGUCUGCAUGUUCGACGCGUAACCGAGAGGUCCGUGGUUCGAUUCCUGGCGAAGGCG
rnacentral:tRNA from 1 species